GAAUGCUGACAUAAGUAACGAUAAAGCGGGUGAAAAGCCCGCUCGCCGGAAGACCAAGGGUUCCUGUCCAACGUUAAUCGGGGCAGGGUGAGUCGACCCCUAAGGCGAGGCCGAAAGGCGUAGUCGAUGGGAAACGGGUUAAUAUUCCCGUACUUGGUGUUACUGCGAAGGGGGGACGGAGAAGGCUAUGUUGGCCGGGCGACGGUUGUCCCGGUUUAAGCGUGUAGGUGUGUGUUCCAGGUAAAUCCGGUUCACUUUAACACUGAGGCGUGACGACGAGGCACUACGGUGCUGAAGCAACAAAUGCCCUGCUUCCAGGAAAAGCCUCUAAGCAUCAGGUAACACGAAAUCGUACCCCAAACCGACACAGGUGGUCAGGUAGAGAAUACCAAGGCGCUUGAGAGAACUCGGGUGAAGGAACUAGGCAAAAUGGUGCCGUAACUUCGGGAGAAGGCACGCUGACAC
rnacentral:rRNA from 2 species